CAGGAAUAUAGUUUAAUAAAAAAUACUGGUAUUGGAGACCAGAGAUUAGAGUAAAUCUAUUUUCUGA
rnacentral:tRNA from 1 species